CGGUCUCAGUUCGGAUCGCAGGCUGCAACUCGCCUGCGUGAAGUUGGAAUUGCUAGUAAUCGCGGAUCAGCAUGCCGCGGUGAAUACGUUCCCGGGCCUUGUACACACCGCCCGUCACACCAUGGGAGUUUGUAACGCCCAAAGUCGGUGGCCUAACCUUUAUGGAGGGAGCCGCCUAAGGCGGGACAGAUGACUGGGGUGAAGUCGUAACAAGGUAUC
rnacentral:rRNA from 1 species